UGUAAUAGGAAAACCUCAAGGUAAUAACAUUCACUUCUCAUGCACAAAACUGUACAACACAAUAAGCACACUUUAGUAUUGGUUCAACCUAAAUCAAGCAAACACCACCAUAGAUACAACAUACGACUAAUUGUUAGUCUCUCAAUCCUAGUGAUGAUCAAAACUGUAAGGGAAACUGUGUCUUACAUGAUAAAGGUGUUAACCUAAGGCAACACAAACAAACAAACAA
rnacentral:lncRNA from 1 species